UACGUAGGGUGCGAGCGUUGUCCGGAAUUAUUGGGCGUAAAGAGCUCGUAGGCGGUGUGUCGCGUCGGCCGUGAAAACCUGCAGCUUAACUAUGGGCGUGCGGUCGAUACGGGCAUCACUGGAGUUCGGCAGGGGAGACUGGAAUUCCUGGUGUAGCGGUGAAAUGCGCAGAUAUCAGGAGGAACACCGGUGGCGAAGGCGGGUCUCUGGGCCGUAACUGACGCUGAGGAGCGAAAGCAUGGGAAGCGAACAGG
rnacentral:rRNA from 1 species